GCGGCGGCCUCUCGGAGAAUGCUCGAGCCCUAACCUCAAAUGGGAGCCAAAAAGAAGAUGAACUUGGGCAGAUCCCGGUCACCUGGACGACUCCAUUGUCAGCUCUUCCGGAGUAGAAACCAGAACUGGAGUCCUCCGAUUAUCCCCACCUCUCCACUGAUCCGAGGCCAGGAGAAGCCCCGGGUAGCAUAUUCAGAGCAGAUCACUGCUCGUGGAUGAGGGGAUCCUUGGAAGAGAAGUU
rnacentral:lncRNA from 1 species